rfam:Ictidomys tridecemlineatus contig013729, whole genome shotgun sequence.
GGGGUUGUGGCUCAGUGGUGGAGUACUCGCCUAGCAAGUGGGAAGCACCAGGUUCAAUCCUCAGCACCA